GACGAACGCUGGCGGCGUGCUUAAUACAUGCAAGUCGAGCGGUAAGGCCCUUUCGGGGGUACGACGAGCGGCGAACGGGUGAGUAACACGUGGGUGACCUGCCCUCAGCUCUGGGAUAAGCCUGGGAAACUGGGUCUAAUACCGGAUAUGACUCCAUGACGCAUGUUGUGGGGUGGAAAGCCUUGUGCGGCUGAGGAUGGGCCCGCGGCCUAUCAGCUUGUUGGUGGGGUGAUGGCCUACCAAGGCGACGACGGGUAGCCGGCCUGAGAGGGCGACCGGCCACACUGGGACUGAGACACGGCCCAGACUCCUACGGGAGGCAGCAGUGGGGAAUCUUGCGCAAUGGGCGAAAGCCUGACGCAGCGACGCCGCGUGAGGGAUGACGGCCU
rnacentral:rRNA from 1 species